rnacentral:rRNA from 1 species
AACGGAGGAGCACGAAGGUUGGCUAAUCCUGGUCGGACAUCAGGAGGUUAGUGCAAUGGCAUAAGCCAGCUUGACUGCGAGCGUGACGGCGCGAGCAGGUGCGAAAGCAGGUCAUAGUGAUCCGGUGGUUCUGAAUGGAAGGGCCAUCGCUCAACGGAUAAAAGGUACUCCGGGGAUAACAGGCUGAUACCGCCCAAGAGUUCAUAUCGACGGCGGUGUUUGGCACCUCGAUGUCGGCUCAUCACAUCCUGGGGCUGAAGUAGGUCCCAAGGGUAUGGCUGUUCGCCAUUUAAAGUGGUACGCGAGCUGGGUUUAGAACGUCGUGAGACAGUUCGGUCCCUA